AGCGGUAAGGCCUCUUCGGGGGUACACGAGCGGCGAACGGGUGAGUAACACGUGAGUAAUCUGCCCUUCACUUCGGGAUAAGCCUCGGAAACGGGGUCUAAUACCGGAUACGACACUCCUUCGCAUGAGGUGGGUGUGGAAAGUUUUUCGGUGGGGGAUGUGCUCGCGGCCUAUCAGCUUGUUGGUGGGGUAAUGGCCUACCAAGGCUUCGACGGGUAGCCGGCCUGAGAGGGUGACCGGCCACACUGGGACUGAGACACGGCCCAGACUCCUACGGGAGGCAGCAGUGGGGAAUAUUGGACAAUGGGCGGAAGCCUGAUCCAGCAACGCCGCGUGAGGGAUGACGGCCUUCGGGUUGUAAACCUCUUUCAGUACCGACGAAGCGAAAGUGACGGUAGGUACAGAAGAAGCACCGGCCAACUACGUGCCAGCAGCCGCGGUAAUACGUAGGGUGCGAGCGUUGUCCGGAAUUAUUGGGCGUAAAGGGCUCGUAGGCGGUUUGUCACGUCGGGAGUGAAAACACUGGGCUUAACUCAGUGCUUGCUUUCGAUACGGGCAGACUAGAGGCAUGCAGGGGAGAACGGAAUUCCUGGUGUAGCGGUGAAAUGCGCAGAUAUCAGGAGGAACACCGGUGGCGAAGGCGGUUCUCUGGGCAUGUCCUGACGCUGAGGAGCGAAAGUGUGGGGAGCGAACAGGAUUAGAUACCCUGGUAGUCCACACCGUAAACGUUGGGCGCUAGGUGUGGGGCCUAUUCCAUGGGUUCCGUGCCGCAGCUAACGCAUUA
rnacentral:rRNA from 1 species